GCGGUGGAAAAGAAACCAAAAGGGAUUUCGAUAGUAACGGCGAGCGAAAUCGAAACAGCUCAGCGCCAAGUCCUAUCGUCAAAAGGCGUAUAGGAGAUGCGGCGUGAAUGUAACAAUGCAUCGCAUUUUGCCUCUGUAACGCAAGUUCUUCUGACAAGGACUUUUUCCAUAGCGGGUGCUAGGCCCAUAGCUGUUGCAAGGCUAUUAUGCGCAUAUUGUUGCAUGCUAGAGUCAGGUUGCUUGAAAGUGCAGCCCAAAGUAGGUGGUAAACUCCACCUAAAGCUAAAUAUUACUGCGAGACCGAUAGCAAACAAGUACCGUGAGGGAAAGUUGCAAAGAACUUUGAAGAGAGAGUUCAAUAGGACGUGAAACCGUUUGUAGGUAAACGGGUGGAACCACGAAGUUUGCAGGAAAGAGGAUUCAACUGUUCCGUGAGUGGCAGCCGGUGACUGUCUAUUCAGGUUUUCGUUGGAAAACAGGCGUCAUUGGCCUUCAAUGUUGCUCUCGGGCGGUGCAUUUCUUCACUUCCUUGCUAAAGCCAUGACUAGUUGGAAAGCUAAAGCGUCCGUAUGCGAGAGUUGCCGGCAGGUAACUAGAUGCGUUUUGUAUGUAUGCUAGAGUUAUAGCCGGUAGCUUGGCUAGUGAUUGGUGCUUAAGUUAACCGACUAGUGAAAGUUCUCCGUUUGUGCGGAGUAUGCAAGUAGAGCGGACAGACAGUAUCGUUGUCGAGACAAGUGUUGAUUUUGUGGGCAUUUUUGUGUUUGCACGAAAAAACUGCGUUAUCAAUCUGUCUAUGCUGGCGGCGAUAUUUCUGUUUGUUCGUGAACAAUCGAUGGCCAGUAGGUCGGUAUCCACCUGACCC
rnacentral:rRNA from 1 species